rnacentral:rRNA from 1 species
GAUGAACGCUGGCGGCGUGCCUAAUACAUGCAAGUCGAGCGAACAGACGAGGAGCUUGCUCCUCUGACGUUAGCGGCGGACGGGUGAGUAACACGUGGAUAACCUACCUAUAAGACUGGGAUAACUUCGGGAAACCGGAGCUAAUACCGGAUAAUAUAUUGAACCGCAUGGUUCAAUAGUGAAAGACGGUUUUGCUGUCACUUAUAGAUGGAUCCGCGCCGCAUUAGCUAGUUGGUAAGGUAACGGCUUACCAAGGCAACGAUGCGUAGCCGACCUGAGAGGGUGAUCGGCCACACUGGAACUGAGACACGGUCCAGACUCCUACGGGAGGCAGCAGUAGGGAAUCUUCCGCAAUGGGCGAAAGGCUGACGGAGCAACGCCGCGUGAGUGAUGAAGGUCUUCGGAUCGUAAAACUCUGUUAUUAGGGAAGAACAAAUGUGUAAGUAACUAUGCACGUCUUGACGGUACCUAAUCAGAAAGCCACGGCUAACUACGUG